rnacentral:rRNA from 1 species
CGGCACGGGUGAGUAACGCGUAUGCAACUUACCUAUCAGAGGGGGAUAACCCGGCGAAAGUCGGACUAAUACCGCAUGAAGCAGGGGCCCCGCAUGGGGAUAUUUGCUAAAGAUUCAUCGCUGAUAGAUAGGCAUGCGUUCCAUUAGGCAGUUGGCGGGGUAACGGCCCACCAAGCCGACGAUGGAUAGGGGUUCUGAGAGGAAGGUCCCCCACAUUGGUACUGAGACACGGACCAA